rnacentral:piRNA from 1 species
UAGUGCACGAUGAUGGAGAUGAGGUGGU